rnacentral:lncRNA from 1 species
UUUUUUUAGAGAUUUCUUUUUGGACUUUGAAAUCAGUCGUUGACUCCUGUUUUUUGAAGUGAUGGUGGCAAUAUUGCCAAGCAAUAGACGUCUAAUAGAAGGUGAUGCUGGUGAAAUGGAAAGGAAUAAAGAAGAAAUAGAAGAAAGUAAGAAAUUAUACUCCUUGCACACCUCUUCUGAUUUAUCAAAUUUGUCUUAAAAUAAAGCCUCUCAAAUAACUUUAGGUAGAAUAUCUUAUGCAAGAAAAAAACCGUGAUAUUUUAGAUUUGAUAUUUUGAGUAAUCUUAGAAAUAUUAGGUGAUAAAUCUUAGUUAUUGGAUUUUAUAAAAGUGCCAAGUUUGGAUCUUAUUAUUAAAGACUAUUAGAAGAAAAAAAUAAAUCAAGAAAAAUUUGGUUAAUUUGAA